rnacentral:rRNA from 1 species
UACAGAGGUCUCAAGCGUUGUUCGGAUUCAUUGGGCGUAAAGGGUGCGUAGGUGGCGCGGUAAGUCGGGUGUGAAAUCUCGGAGCUUAACUCCGAAAUUGCAUUCGAUACUGCCGUGCUUGAGGACUGGAGAGGAGACUGGAAUUCAUGGUGUAGCAGUGAAAUGCGUAGAGAUCAUGAGGAAGACCAGUGGCGAAGGCGGGUCUCUGGACAGUUCCUGACACUGAGGCACGAAGGUCAGGGGAGCAAACGGG